rnacentral:rRNA from 1 species
CCUACGGGAGGCUGCAGUGAGGAAUAUUGGUCAAUGGACGAGAGUCUGUACCAGCCAAGUAGCGUGAAGGAUGACUGCCCUAUGGGUUGUAAACUUCUUUUAUAUGGGAAUAAAAUGUUCCACGUGUGGGAUUUUGUAUGUACCAUAUGAAUAAGGAUCGGCUAACUCCGUGCCAGCAGCCGCGGUAAUACGGAGGAUCCGAGCGUUAUCCGGAUUUAUUGGGUUUAAAGGGAGCGUAGGUGGAUUGUUAAGUCAGUUGUGAAAGUUUGCGGCUCAACCGUAAAAUUGCAGUUGAAACUGGCAGUCUUGAGUACAGUAGAGGUGGGCGGAAUUCGUGGUGUAGCGGUGAAAUGCUUAGAUAUCACGAAGAACUCCGAUUGCGAAGGCAGCUCACUGGACUGCAACUGACACUGAGGCUCGAAAGUGUGGGUAUCAAACAGGAUUAGAUACCCGUGUAGUC